UUGGAGGGAAGUCUGGUGCCCCCCUUUCGGGNAAUUCCAGGCUCCAAUAGCGUAUAUAAAGUUGCUGCAGUUAAAAAGCUCGUAGUUGAAUUUCGGGAUCAAUAUUCGGUCGUGCCUUGGCUACGUACUGGCUAUCAUUGGUUUCUCCUUUCUGACGAACCAUGAUGUCAUUAAUUUGGUGUUAUGGGAAGUUAGGACUGUUACUUUGAAAAAAUUAGAGUGUUUAAAGCAGGCUUUAGCUUGAAUACAUUANCAUGGAAUAAUGAAAUAGGACGUUCGAACCUAUUUUGUUGGUUUCUAGGAUCAACGUUAUGAUUAAUACGGAUAGUAGGGGGCAUUACAUAUUCAAUUGUCAGAGGUGAAAUUCUUGGAUUUAUUGAAACUAAACCACUGCGAAAGCAUUUUGCCACGGAUGUUUUCAUUAAUCAAGUAACNAAAGUUUAGGGGAUCGAAGACGAUCAGAUACCGUCGUAGUCUUAACCAUAAACUAUGCCGACUAGGGAUCGGAUGAUGUUAAUUUUUAAUGACUCAUUCGGCGCCUUACGGGUAAC
rnacentral:rRNA from 1 species